GUACUGCUGAAGAGUCUCAAUCUAGGACGAAACUACUGUCCAGUAC
rfam:Trichobilharzia regenti genome assembly, scaffold: TRE_scaffold0008266